rnacentral:rRNA from 1 species
GAAUAUUGGACAAUGGGGGCAACCCUGAUCCAGCCAUGCCGCGUGUGUGAAGAAGGCCUUCGGGUUGUAAAGCACUUUCAGUGGUGAGGAAGGCUUGCAGAUUAAUACUCUGCGAGAUUGACGUUAGCCACAGAAGAAGCACCGGCUCACUCCGUGCCAGCAGCCGCGGUAAUACGGAGGGUGCGAGCGUUAAUCGGAAUUACUGGGCGUAAAGCGCACGUAGGCGGUUUGUUAAGCUAGAUGUGAAAGCCCCGGGCUUAACCUGGGAAUAGCAUUUAGAACUGGCAGGCUAGAGUUUUGGAGAGGGUGGUAGAAUUUCCAGUGCAGCGGUGAAAUGCGUAGAGAUUGGAAGGAAUACCAGUGGCGAAGGCGGCCACCUGGCCAAAAACUGACGCUGAGGAGCGAAAGCGUGGGGAGCAAACAGG